GAUGAACGCUGGCGGCGUGCCUAAUACAUGCAAGUCGAGCGAACAGAUGAGGAGCUUGCUCCUCUGACGUUAGCGGCGGACGGGUGAGUAACACGUGGAUAACCUACCUAUAAGACUGGGAUAACUUCGGGAAACCGGAGCUAAUACCGGGUAAUAUAUUGAACCGCAUGGUUCAAUAGUGAAAGACGGUUUUGCUGUCACUUAUAGAUGGAUCCGCGCCGCAUUAGCUAGUUGGUAAGGUAACGGCUUACCAAGGCAACGAUGCGUAGCCGACCUGAGAGGGUGAUCGGCCACACUGGAACUGAGACACGGUCCAGACUCCUACGGGAGGCAGCAGUAGGGAAUCUUCCGCAAAGGGCGAAAGCCUGACGGAGCAACGCCGCGUGAGUGAUGAAGGUCUUCGGAUCGUAAAACUCUGUUAUUAGGGAAGAACAAAUGUGUAAGUAACUAUGCACGUCUUGACGGUACCUAAUCAGAAAGCCACGGCUAACUACGUG
rnacentral:rRNA from 1 species